UACGGAGGGGGCUAGCGUUGUUCGGAAUUACUGGGCGUAAAGCGCACGUAGGCGGUUUGUCGCGUCUGCCGUGAAAGUCCGGGGCUCAACUCCGGAUCUGCGGUGGGUACGGGCAGACUAGAGUGAUGUAGGGGAGACUGGAAUUCCUGGUGUAGCGGUGAAAUGCGCAGAUAUCAGGAGGAACACCGAUGGCGAAGGCAGGUCUCUGGGCAUUAACUGACGCUGAGGAGCGAAAGCAUGGGGAGCGAACAGG
rnacentral:rRNA from 1 species